rnacentral:rRNA from 1 species
GAACGCUGGCGGCGUGCCUAACACAUGCAAGUCGAACGGAGUUAUUCGCUGAUGAAGCUUCGGCAGAAUCUGAAUAACUUAGUGGCGGACGGGUGAGUAACGCGUGGGUAACCUGCCUCAUACAGGGGGAUAGCAGUUGGAAACGACUGAUAACACCGCAUAAGCGCACAGUGUCGCAUGACACAGUGUGAAAAUAUUUAUAGGUAUGAGAUGGACCCGCGUCUGAUUAGCUAGUUGGUGAGGUAACGGCCCACCAAGGCGACGAUCAGUAGCCGGCCUGAGAGGGCGGACGGCCACAUUGGGACUGAGACACGGCCCAAACUCCUACGGGAGGCAGCAGUGGGGGAUAUUGCACAAUGGGCGAAAGCCUGAUGCAGCGACGCCGCGUGAGUGAAGAAGUAUUUCGGUAUGUAAAGCUCUAUCAGCAGGGAAGAAAGACCUCGUAAGAGGGGAUGACGGUACCUGAGUAAGAAGCCCCGGCUAACUACGUGCCAGCCGCUGC